rnacentral:rRNA from 1 species
UCCGGUUGAUCCUGCCAGAGGCCGCUGCUAUCCGGCUGGGACUAAGCCAUGCUAGUCUAGGGGCUUGUACCCCUUCGGGGGUGCAAGCACCGGCGGACGGCUCAGUAACACGUGGACAACCUGCCCUCGGGUGGGGGAUAACCCCGGGAAACUGGGGCUAAUCCCCCAUAGGUGAUGGGUGCUGGAAUGCCCCAUCUCCGAAAGCGCUCAGCGCCCGAGGAUGGGUCUGCGGCGGAUUAGGUAGUUGGUGGGGUAACGGCCCACCAAGCCUAAGAUCCGUACGGGCUGUGGGAGCAGGAGCCCGGAGAUGGACCCUGAGACAAGGGUCCAGGCCCUACGGGGCGCAGCAGGCGCGAAACCUCCGCAAUGCGGGAAACCGCGACGGGGUUAGCCGGAGUGCCCGUGCAUUGCACGGGCUGUCGGGGUGCCUAAACAGCACCCCAUAGCAAGGGCCGGGCAAGGCCGGUGGCAGCCGCCGCGGUAAGACCGGCGGCCCGAGUGGCGGCCACUCUUAUUGGGCCUAAAGCGUCCGUAGCCGGCCCAGUAAGUCCCCCGGGAAAUCUGGUCGCUUAACGAUCAGACUUCCGGGGGAUACUGCUGGGCUAGGGACCGGGAGAGGCCGAGGGUAUUCCCGGGGUAAGGGUGAAA